UACGUAGGGUGCAAGCGUUAAUCGGAAUUACUGGGCGUAAAGCGUGCGCAGGCGGUUGUGCAAGACAGAUGUGAAAUCCCCGGGCUUAACCUGGGAAUGGCAUUUGUGACUGCACGGCUAGAGUGUGUCAGAGGGGGGUAGAAUUCCACGUGUAGCAGUGAAAUGCGUAGAUAUGCGGAGGAACACCGAUGGCGAAGGCAAUCCCCUGGGCCUGCACUGACGCUCAUGCACGAAAGCGUGGGGAGCAAACAGG
rnacentral:rRNA from 1 species